rnacentral:misc_RNA from 1 species
AACCAUAGAAACCUGCGGAGUACCUGCGGAAGGAUCAUUAAAAAGAGUGUGUACCCCUCUGUAAAAUGAGUGGGUUACCUCCCGUCCUUUGUUGACCUCUUAGGAGGUUAUUUUGAACUUUCUGCUUCGGUGGGGUUAAACCUACCGGAACACCCUCAAAUUCUUAUCAUUUAAAAAUUGUUCAGUCUGAUUUUUGUUAAUAAAAACAAAAAACUUUUAACAAUGGAUCUCAGAUCGGAA